UCCCUGGCUCAGGACGAACGCAGGCGGCAUGCCUAAAUACAUGCAAGUCGAGCGGAGUUUGAGAGGAAGCUUGCUUCCUUUCAACUUAGCGGCGGACGGGUGAGUAACACGUAGGCAACCUGCCCUCAAGCCUGGGAUAACUACCGGAAACGGUAGCUAAUACCGGAUAAUUUCUUUUUUCUCCUGAGAAAAGAAUGAAAGGCGGAGCAAUCUGCUGCUUGGGGAUGGGCCUGCGGCGCAUUAGCUAGUUGGUGGGGUAACGGCCCACCAAGGCGACGAUGCGUAGCCGACCUGAGAGGGUGAACGGCCACACUGGGACUGAGACACGGCCCAGACUCCUACGGGAGGCAGCAGUAGGGAAUCUUCCGCAAUGGGCGCAAGCCUGACGGAGCAAUGCCGCGUGAGUGAUGAAGGUUUUCGGAUCGUAAAGCUCUGUUGCCAGGGAAGAACGUCCGGUAGAGUAACUGCUGCCGGAGUGACGGUACCUGAGAAGAAAGCCCCGG
rnacentral:rRNA from 1 species